GGAGGAGUCCACGGGGAGGGAGAGGGGCGGCGAGGGUGGAGGCGGAGGAGAUGUCCGCGGGGAGGGAGAAGGGCGGGGAUGGGGAGGAAGAGGGGCGGCGAGGGAGGAGGCGGAGAAGGAGACCGCAGGUGCUGUGGGGCGAGAUGGAGGAGGAGCGCCUCGCCGCGGCCAUCGCCGCCAGCAAUGCCAUGGCCAUGAUGCGGCGCCUGCAGAAGGAGAAGGUCGAGGUCUAGAUGGAGCUCCGCCAGUUCCGCCGCUUCGACGCGGAGAUCGACCAUCUCCGCGCCCUCAUCACCUGCCUCGCGCCUGUCCACUACAUGCUCCACGCCUACAGGAUUCUCUUCUUACCGUCGGCGUUCACCUCAUCAUCAAAGUGUUCUCCUUGCUGUCUCGGGUCGCUGAAUCAUUAACGCCCAAGCAUGAUCUGUGCUGGAGCCUUUCCGGCAGUUCAGAACUGAACUCUUCAUUUUCUGAAGUCCUUCAAAAUUUUCAGGGUCAAGAUGAUGAAGAUGGAAAGCUGCAGAGGGCCUGAGGCGGUACUCGUGCAAGAACCUCACCCAUGGUGGAGCUGAUAUGAUAGAGAAGCAAAACUCAGCUCGCUGUCUUAUUUCCGAUUCUUUUAUUACAAUUACAGUACUUAUUUUGUUGGAUACAUAUUUUAUCAGAUCGUUUCUUCUUUGUUUAUUGACAACAAUAAUUGAUUGCCUUAUGCUUUUGUACAUAUGUUUUUUAAUCAUCUGUUGGACUAACUAACUUACCUGGAUUCAAGAGUCUGUUAGUAGGUGAAUUCGUGCUUUAGUAGAGUCAAUAGUUGGUCAAGUUCGUUGGUCCAGUUUAUGGUCGUUGAGACACAGUGAUGUUUCUGUAUCGGCAGGGUGACUGCUUGGUUUUUUGUAUCCUUGGACAUUUUGGUUUCAUAAUAUAUGAAACUAGAAAUGCACGCUCAUUACAAAAGGAUUCUGUGAACAACAAUGUCAAAGCUACAAGAAUGUCAAGUUGUCUUGACCUGAAACUUGUGAAGAACAAUAAUUAUUAGGUGUCUAGGUCGGGCAUUCCAGUAUUUUGAGUGGAGUAAUUCCACAAUGCACAGCCAUCUUCAUUGAACAACUGAAAGUAAUAUACAGAACACAAUCGCUUGUUUAUUUCUUGACAACCAAUUGAUUUGCUAACUAUUCUAUUCUUAGAGUACAAGGCAAAGUUAUGUGGUGGGUCGGAUGGAGAGCUUGGCACGGCGAUGUGGUAGGCUGCUCUGCAGCGGCACGAAUGGAGAGCUCAGUCAACGAUGGCGGGACGACCGACUGAUCUGCGGCAGCGUGGAAGGAGAGCUCGGCGGUCGACGGCGGCUCGGCCAGCUGUUCUGCGAUGUUUCGGAGGGAGAACUUAUUGUACUGAGACUGCUUUGGCUGUUUCAGAGGCCAUACACACAUAUAAAUACGCAACUACUCCCUCGACUGAAGCCUCAGCCCAAUUGUGUCGUUUCGUCGUGCUUGACAUUGGUGUCUUGCCGUUCUGCCAACCUGGUAGGAAUUUCUCCGUACUGCCGACUUCACCGGAAUUACAUCCGCCAGCGUAGCCAAGGCACAUCGGUCAAACUGCUCGAGCAAUACUGAUUUGGAGUUGUUUUGGUCAAGCGGUUGAACUGAACCAUGCUACUGUACAGUAGCCAAAAGGAUAGUCAGUUUGUUUCCCUGACCCCUGUGAUCUGAAGCGGCUAAACUGAACCAUGCUAUUACACAAUAGCCCAAAGUUGUCUGGUAGAUAUGAGUAUCAUCAUAUAAUUUUGUUUCUAGAAUAUGUAAUAGGUAACCAGCAAUGUUGUUGUCAGUUUACAAGAAUGCUGACGUUGUUUGAAUGCAUAUAUACUUACUGGAAUUAGUUUGAAUGCAUAUACAGUACCUUGAUGUUGAAUUUA